rnacentral:rRNA from 1 species
GGGGGAUAUUGCACAAUGGGGGAAACCCUGAUGCAGCGAUGCCGCGUGUAGGAAGACGGUCCUCUGGAUUGUAAACUACUGUCUUCAGGGACGAUAAUGACGGUACCUGAGGAGGAAGCUCCGGCUAACUACGUGCCAGCAGCCGCGGUAAUACGUAGGGAGCGAGCGUUGUCCGGAAUUACUGGGUGUAAAGGGAGCGUAGGCGGGGUCUUAAGUCCGUUGUGAAAUCUAUCGGCUCAACCGGUAGCUGCGGCGGAAACUGGGACUCUUGAGUGAAGUAGAGGCAGGCGGAAUUCCUAGUGUAGCGGUGAAAUGCGUAGAUAUUAGGAGGAACACCAGUGGCGAAGGCGGCCUGCUGGGCUUUUACUGACGCUGAGGCUCGAAAGUGUGGGGAGCAAAC